UACUAGAGUAGAAGCGGUCAGGGGCUAGGCUCCGGGACAUUGCUCUUUGG
rnacentral:ncRNA from 1 species